AUUGAACGCUGGCGGCAUGCUUUACACAUGCAAGUCGAACGGUAACAGGUUAAGCUGACGAGUGGCGAACGGGUGAGUAAUGCAUCGGAACGUGCCCGGUCGUGGGGGAUAACGCAGCGAAAGUUGCGCUAAUACCGCAUACGAUCUGAGGAUGAAAGCGGGGGACCGUAAGGCCUCGCGCGAUCGGAGCGGCCGAUGUCAGAUUAGGUAGUUGGUGGGGUAAAGGCUCACCAAGCCAACGAUCUGUAGCUGGUCUGAGAGGACGACCAGCCACAUUGGGACUGAGACACGGCCCAGACUCCUACGGGAGGCAGCAGUGGGGAAUUUUGGACAAUGGGCGAAAGCCUGAUCCAGCGAUGCCGCGUGCAGGAAGAAGGCCUUCGGGUUGUAAACUGCUUUUGUACGGAGCGAAAAGGUCUCCUCUAAUACAGGGGGCUCAUGACGGUACCGUAAGAAUAAGCACCGGCUAACUACGUGCCAGCCGCCGCGGUAA
rnacentral:rRNA from 1 species